rnacentral:rRNA from 1 species
GACAGAGGAUGCAAGCGUUAUCCGGAAUGAUUGGGCGUAAAGCGUCUGUAGGUGGCUUUUCAAGUCCGCCGUCAAAUCCCAGGGCUCAACCCUGGACAGGCGGUGGAAACUACCAAGCUGGAGUACGGUAGGGGCAGAGGGAAUUUCCGGUGUAGCGGUGAAAUGCGUAGAGAUCGGAAGGAACGUCGAUGGCGAAGGCAGCCACCUGGCAUCAUACUGACGCUGAGGCGCGAAAGCGUGGGUAGCGAACAGG